rnacentral:rRNA from 1 species
UACGUAGGGCGCAAGCGUUUGUCCGGAAUUAUUGGGCGUAAAGAGCUCGUAGGCGGUUUGUCGCGUCUGCUGUGAAAACCUAAGGCUCAACCUUGGGCUUGCAGUGGGUACGGGCAGACUAGAGUGCGGUAGGGGUGACUGGAAUUCCUGGUGUAGCGGUGAAAUGCGCAGAUAUCAGGAGGAACACCCGAUGGCGAAGGCAGGUC